UAAUACGUAGGGUGCGAGCGUUAAUCGGAAUUACUGGGCGUAAAGCGUGCGCAGGCGGUUUUGUAAGACAGGCGUGAAAUCCCCGGGCUCAACCUGGGAACUGCGCUUGUGACUGCAAGGCUAGAGUACGGCAGAGGGGGGUGGAAUUCCACGUGUAGCAGUGAAAUGCGUAGAGAUGUGGAGGAACACCAAUGGCGAAGGCAGCCCCCUGGGUCGAUACUGACGCUCAUGCACGAAAGCGUGGGUAGCAAACAGG
rnacentral:rRNA from 1 species